CGGACGGGUGAGUAACACGUGGAUAACCUACCUAUAAGACUGGGAUAACUUCGGGAAACCGGAGCUAAUACCGGAUAAUAUAUUGAACCGCAUGGUUCAAUAGUGAAAGACGGUUUUGCUGUCACUUAUAGAUGGAUCCGCGCUGCAUUAGCUAGUUGGUAAGGUAACGGCUUACCAAGGCAACGAUGCGUAGCCGACCUGAGAGGGUGAUCGGCCACACUGGAACUGAGACACGGUCCAGACUCCUACGGGAGCANCAGGC
rnacentral:rRNA from 1 species